rnacentral:rRNA from 1 species
UAAUUUAAAGUCUAGCCUGCCCAAUGAUAAUUUUAAUGGCCGCAGUAUUUUGACUGUGCAAAGGUAGCAUAAUCAUUAGUUUCUUAAUUAGAAACUAGAAUGAAAGGUUGAACGAGAAAGUAACUGUCUCUUUAUAAUUUUUUUAGAAUUUUAUUUUUAAGUUAAAAAGCUUAAAUAAUUUUGGAAGACGAGAAGACCCUAUAGAGUUUAAUAUUUUAUUAAUUAAAUUUUAAAAUAGAAUUAUAUUUAUUUGAUUAAGAAAAAUAUUUGAUUGGGGUGAUUGAAAAAUUUAAUUAACUUUUUUUUUAUUAUAACAUAUAUAAAUGAUUAAUUGAUCCAUUAUUGAUGAUUAUAAGAUUAAAUUACCUUAGGGAUAACAGCGUAAUUUUUUUUAAGAGUUCUUAUCGAUAAAAAAGUUUGCGACCUCGAUGUUGGAUUAAAAUUAAUUUUUGGUGUAGAAGCUAAAAUAUUAGGUCUGUUCGACCUUUAAAAUUUU